UUUUUUUUUUCACCAGUAAUAAUUUGUCACAAAUGUUCUUCUCUUACUGCAGAUCAUGGGGCAGUUGUGGGUUUAUUUUGUUGUUUUCUGGGCGUUGCUUCUAACGACCAUUUCUGGAGAGGAUGACACAGGCACAUCAAAAGAGUGUGAGGAUGCUCCUUUUGUUCCAGGACACAAUCUUGCUGGAGAAGGAUUUGAUGUCGUGACCAUGGAGCGAAAAGGUUCUUAUCUGAUCGACAUGGAAAAAUGGGAUUUGGGAAACAGCACUUGUAAGUUUCGCAAAAACAAGUACAUGAAUGAAAUUAAACAGAAGCUACCAGCAGCAGUUGUAGACUGGAGGACCUUGCCAAAGUGUUCGAUGAAAGUCUCCAGUCAGAUCUUUGAAUCAAGUGAAGCACUGGUCAAUGAUUCAUCCUCGGCACUCUCGGCUAGCUGGAAAGUUGGUAUAGAUGUGAAGGCUGUUGGAGCUGCAGUUGGAAGCACUCAUUCCAGGGAAGCUAAAUUUGCAAUGACAAAAUCAAAAGAGGACAAAUACAGUUUCACCAAACAUGAAAUUGCAUGCAACUUUUACAGUUACCGUGUAGCUGCAAAGCCUCCUCUUCAUGCAGAGUUUCUUGAAGCUGUCAAAUCACUCCCUACACCCUACGAUCGAGACGCCUACCGCAACCUGAUCACCACAUACGGCACUCACUAUACCACAACUGUCAUUUUAGGAGGGCGAAUGAAAUCCAUAACAGCCAUCAAAACCUGUCAGGCAGCAGUGAGUGGACUUACAGACACUGCAGUGAAAGAUUGUUUGGAUGUUGAAGCCUCUGGUUCAUACAGUGUAGUAACUGUGAAGGUAGAAGCACAUUUUUGUCAAGAACUAAAGAAGAAGAUGGGCACAAAUGAAAAGUUCAGCUCCAUGUUUAGUGAGCGUCAGACAGAGAUAAUAGGAGGAAACAUAAAUGGAGAAGAUCUGCUUUUCUCUGGUUCAUCACACCCAGAUUCCCGUAAAAAAUGGCUUGAGUCUUUGAAGAGUCUUCCUGACAUUGUGCAUUAUUCUCUGAAACCCCUCCAUUUCUUACUGAGUACAAAACACCCUGCAAGGAAAGGACUGAAGAAAGCUGUUGAAGAAUACAUCAUUCAAAAUGCCCUCAUGAAGGUUUGCUCUGAGCCUUGCAAGAUUGGCAGGAAGUGCAACGCAAGAGACCGAUGUGGUUGUGUUUGUGAAACUUGUCAAAUGAUUAAGUCUAACUGCUGUCCAGCUGAAAAAGGACUUGCAACCCUGAAAGUCUACAAUCUCAGAGCCAAAGGUCUGCAUGCAGAUUUAUUUACACAAACAGAUGGUUUUGUAUUACUUAAAUAUGGCAAAACAUCCAGGCGCACUAAGACCAUUGAUAAUAAUGACAAUCCACGUAGGCCAGAAACAUUUGCGUUUGGUCCUGUUAAGAUCAAAAUGGCCAAUAAACUAACUUUUGAUGUAUAUGAUGCAGACUCUUUCUGGAUCACAAAAUUCCUUGGUAAAUGCUCUUUUGAUCUCAGAAGUGGAGUUGUGACUGAUGCUUGUGUUUUUACACAUGGUACCUUCUUUUUUACCUAUGAAGUGAAAUGUGAACCCAGUCUGCAGGGCCCACAGUGUAAUGAAGUCAAACCUUCUCCAGUGGCUGCCCCUCUGGCUGAUAUUUUCAGCUCAAGAAAUGGUGUUCUGGUUAAAGACAUGCCGAGGCUUGAAUUAGCAUUCAAUAACUCAGAUAAGUUCACUAUCAAGAGUACUUUUGGAAAGCUGAUUAUGCUGUGAUCUGCAUCUUAAAUCCCUACUUUACACAUUAAAAGUAGCCCUGUAGCCUUCACAUCUCUUUCAUCUACUAGAAAAAAAUGACCAGAACCUAUGAUCACUUCUUUUCCGACUGCUUCUCUGUUUUAGUUUCUGUGUUUUUUGCAUUAAUAAAACAUUCCUAAAGACAGAUGUGUGUUUUCAUUCUUUUUUAGACUUACAAAAUGCAUAAUCAACUAACAGUGCACUAACUACAGGCACCUUUACCAAAAAGUAGUAUACUUCAAGUUUAUUUUAUUAAGUAUACUUAAGUAAAGUUCAAGUAUACGUAACACACUUGAGAAAGCAAACAAGUGUGACUGGUAUUUGGGUUCUUUCGUUUACUCAGCCAGCAGUUUUACAAAUCUUGCCACAGCUCCGUGCAACACAACAAUGUGUGAACUACUAUGACUACUAACGUAACUCUUCUCUCUUCCGUUCAGGUCUCAGGCAAAGUCCUCAGCAAAGUCUCCAAACACUUUCUCUGCAGCUGUCUUAGUGCUCUUGUUUCUGCACGCAUAUGCUUGAACGAAUCAUGUAAAGUGGUCCAUCACAACUGAAAUGUAUUCAUAACCUCCUUUGCACUUCUCAAAAUGCAAAAAAUCAGUAGAGACCAACUUAAAUGGAUAAGUGGUGGUGAGGUCAGGUCACCCUGUUUGGAUGCUUACUUCUCAGGAAACUACAAACACAUGUGGCAUAGUGUUCCACUUCCCUUUGCAUGUGGGCCACAAAAAAAAAUCAAUCCCUGAUCAGGUUCAGCACUCGUUCUGCCCCUAAAUGGCCCAUGUCUUGACUUAACUCCUUGUAAACAAGCUCAUGAUAUUUUCUUGGCAGGAUCAACUGAUGACGGGUUGCUGUUUUACGGAACAAGAGACCAUGCUCAUCCAAGUAUAGUCUGGCUUUUUCCCUCAUCAGUCCCCGAGCCCCUUUAGCCCUGGCUCCUGUUUAUGGGCUGUGAUUUUGAUUUGAGACACAUCAAGACUUCUCUGAUUUCAGGGUUGUUUUCUUGGGCUGUCCUCAGAACUUCUUUUGGGAUCUCCGCAACUGAUGUGAGCAGCUCUUCCUCCUGUUCUCCUGACAGCACUGGCUUAAUGGUAAGUGGACACAACCACAGACCUCUUUCUUCAUUUUGUAUCAUCACUGACUGAGUUAUGCUAACCAUGACAUUAGGGUGCACUUCUUCUGAGCAGGUUUACAGAUACUGUUCCAUUGACAGCGGCAUGAGUGAGAGGCUGUCAGCAUCCCCAUUCGACUUUCCGGGACGGUAUUUGAUGGUCGGCAAGUCGGCAAGUUCGGCUACCCAUGUGUACAUGGUGGUGUUUAGCUUAGCUGUUGACAUCACACGGGAACAACAGGUUUCUGUGCAGUUUUGUUGAGGGUUAUUAUCUGUGUACACAGUAAAUGAUGGCACAUGGUAGACAUAAUCUCUAAACCUCUCACAUAUGACCCACUUCAUGGGCAAAAACUCCAACUUUUCAGAAUGAAGAUGGUAGUUUUCUCGGGAGGGGUUAGGGCUCUCCAUCCAUAUUCUAUUACUACUAAACUUGCCUCUUUGCCUUUAAUACAGCACUGUGCCGAGGCCUUCCUGUGACGCGUCACAGUGAAGUACAAAGGGUUCAUUUAGGUCUGGAUAUCCCAGCACGGGUGGAUUGGAUAAGCAGUCAAUCAACUCAGAGGACCUAUCGAUGCUCAUCUGUCCAUGUGACUGGACGUAAUGAUGCAAGCUGUCCCUGAUGACUUUUGCCCUUGCCCUUCCGCUUCAGUGGGGUACUCUCUUUCAGUGUUUUGACCGAAAACCAGGCAUCUGGAAUGGAUUCCUUAUUUAACUCCCGGUAGCUGCAGCAGAGGCGGAGGGUUCCAUCUUUCUUAGGCACACAGACUACCGGCAAAGAAUAUGUUGACUUCGAUCUAGUGAUCCACCCCUUAUUUAUCAGAUCCUCCAGGUAUUAUUUAACCUCUUUGUACAGAGGCUUCGGGACUGACGUGUAUGUGUGCUUCACGGGUGUGGUAUCAUGGAGGCAGAUUUUUAACUGGAGAGAGGGGAUACAUCCAACAUCGCUGUCAUUGCGGGCAAAGGCACCACUUUCCUCCCUCAAAAGCUGUUUUACUUUCUGUUGCUGUUCGGAUGUAAGGUUAUCAACACAGACAGGAGGGUCCCAUAAACAUUUCCCAUGAGUUGUUAACAUUACCUCAGCUUUUUCUGUAGAUUGAGUAACGUUACUGUCUUUGGGCUACUUAGUGUUUACUUGCCUUCAGUAAGCUUGAGAAUGUUUUACUUACAUUAGUUAAUUAGUUUUUGCUGUAUUAAAAUUAUAUUUUUUUUAUAUUUUUUUAAACAUGGUGGCAGUUUCCAGCUUCCAAGAAAAAUAAUUUUUAUAACAUCUUUGCAGCAAUAGUUUUAAUGGGUCCAAAACCACCUUGGGUGUGCAUGAUUUUGUAAUAAAUCAAUGGCACAUCAUCAGCUUUUCUUUAUAUAAUGUAAUUUAUUGUAAUUAAUGUAACUAUAAAUGCAUUCAAAAAUAAAACAGGUGUGAGUUUGCUGUGACUUAUGGAAAGUAUAUGUAGGGCUUUAUACACCAAGAAAAAAAAAAAGUCAUAUAAAACCCAAAACACACACAGCCACAAUCAGAAAUAAAAGAGGUGCAUUGUCUGCUCUUAAGGUCACAUUCACCAUUCACCUUCUCCUUUAACCCCACCCUUGAAUUUAUACAU